rnacentral:rRNA from 1 species
UACAGAGGGUGCAAGUGUUGUUCGGAAUUAUUGGGCGUAAAGGGCGUGUAGGUGGUUCGGUAAGUCAGAUGUGAAAUCCCUGGGCUUAACCCAGGAACUGCAUUUGAAACUGUCGGACUAGAGUGCGGCAGAGGAGAGUGGAAUUCCCGGUGUAGAGGUGAAAUUCGUAGAGAUCGGGAGGAACACCAGUGGCGAGAGCGGCUCUCUGGGCCUGCACUGACGCUGAGACGCGAAAGCGUGGGGAGCGAACAGG